rnacentral:rRNA from 1 species
CGGAGGGUGCGAGCGUUGUCCGGAAUCAUUGGGCGUAAAGGGCGCGUAGGUGGCCCGGUCAGUCUUUGGUGAAAGCGCAGGGCUCAACCCUGCGUCGGCCAGGGAUACUGCCGCGGCUGGAGCACUGUAGAGGCAGGCGGAAUUCCGGGUGUAGCGGUGGAAUGCGUAGAGAUCCGGAAGAGCACCGGUGGCGAAGGCGGCCUGCUGGGCAGUAGCCGAAAGGCUUUCAAGCUGACACUGAGGCGCGACAGCGUGGGGAGCAAACAGGAUUAGAUACCCUGGUAGUCCACGCCGUAAACGAUGGGCACUAGGCGCUUGGGGGAGCGACCCCCGAGGGCCGGCGCUAACGCAUUAAGUGCCCCGCCUGGGGAGUACGGCCGCAAGGCUG